rnacentral:lncRNA from 1 species
UGACUUGUUUAUUUUCACAUGAUAUGCAAUAUGCAAAUGCCUAAUGUCCUACAAAAUGAAAUGCAAUAUGCUAAACUAGUCCCAAGAGGAAGAGGGCAAAUUUUGAGGUGUUACAGCUACCCCUAUUCAAUCUAUUGUGAACCUGUCGAUAUGAAUAGCCUCGGCUUUCAGAUGAUCAGAGUGAAGAGUGAUUGAAUACUAAGAACAGACGAACAAUUUGCGCUCCGCUGGGAAAUAAUUAACAAUGCCUGUCAGAAUCGGCAAAGAAGUGAU